rnacentral:lncRNA from 1 species
UCUCAUACAAGAAUCUAUUUUGAGGGCCUUCAAGGGCAGUUCAUCUGGGGGAUUCCCAGAUGAACUGCACUAGAAGGCAUAUUUAGAAGCUCAGAGAUCGGAGAGGCAUUUGAGGCAUAUUGUAGUGGUUUCUCAAAGGUAGAACUUGAUGAUGCAGUACCAAGUUGAGUGUGCCACCACGAUCGCUCAUUUUUACGUAACAUAUGAU